UACACACCGCCCGUCACACCAUGGAAGCUGACUCAACCAGAAGACAGUUAGGCCAACCGCAAGGGGGCCGCUGGUCAAGGUGGGGUUGGUGACUGGGGUG
rnacentral:rRNA from 1 species